rnacentral:rRNA from 1 species
UACGUAGGAUGCAAGCGUUGUCCGGAAUUAUUGGGCGUAAAGAGCGAGCAGGCGGUUUGGAAAGUUGGACGUGAAAUUUUAGGGCUUAACCCUAAAGGGUCGUCCAAAACUCCCAGACUAGAGUGCAGGAGAGGAAAGCGGAAUUCCCGGUGUAGUGGUGAAAUGCGUAGAUAUCGGGAGGAACACCAGAGGCGAAGGCGGCUUCUGGCCUGUAACUGACGCUG